rnacentral:ncRNA from 1 species
CAAAGGAAUUGACGGGGGCCCGCACAAGCGGAGGAACAUGUGGUUUAAUUCGAUGAUACGCGAGGAACCUUACCCGGGCUUGAACUGUAGGCGAACGAUCCAGAGAUGGUGAGGCCCUUCGGGGCGCCUAUGGAGGUGCUGCAUGGUUGUCGUCAGCUCGUGCCGUGAGGUGUCGGCUUAAGUGCCAUAACGAGCGCAACCCCUCUCUUCAGUUGCCAUCAGGUUAGGCUGGGCACUCUGGAGACACUGCCACCGUAAGGUGUGAGGAAGGUGGGGAUGACGUCAAAUCAGCACGGCCCUUACGUCCGGGGCUACACACGUGUUACAAUGGGUGGUACAGAGAGUUGAGUGUACGCAAGUGCAUUCUAAUCAAGAAAGCCAUCCUCAGUUCGGACUGGGGUCUGCAACCCGACCCCACGAAGCUGGAUUCGCUAGUAAUCGCGCAUCAGCCAUGGCGCGGUGAAUACGUUCCCGGGCCUUGUACACACCGCCCGUCAAGCCAUGAAAGCUGGGGGCACCUGAAGUCCGUGACCGCAAGGGUCGGCCUAGGGUGAAACCGGUGAUUGGGGCUAAGUCGUAACAAGGUAGCCGUACCGGAAGGUGCGGCUGGAACACCUCCUUU